CGUUCAGCCAGGUGUGCAUGAGGCACGAGUUUCGACGUUAUAGUGCGCUGUCUGCCAGGCAACUGCCGUGCGCCUCAGUUGACUCGAAUCCACCGUCAACAUGAAUACAUCCGUUCUCUGCGUCAUCCUGCUGGCGUCCGCAUGCGUGUUUUCUGGCAGCGUGUGGGCGCUGUCGGCAAAAGCAAGGGCCGAGAGGAGCGACUGCAUCUACGAAGAGUGCACGGACGAAGAAUGCGAAGCCAAAGGUCUAGUCUGCCGUCCAAAAGGCUGCGGAGGCUCGCACUGCGUCCAAGGUUAGGCCAUGAGUUUGCCCUGACGGAUGACCUGUGACCCCACAUAUCUGAAAUGAAAAGAAACGAUUACAAA